GAUGAAGAACGUAGCGAAAUGCGAUACUUGGUGUGAAUUGCAGAAUCCCGUGAACCGUCGAGUCUUUGAACGCAAGUUGCGCCCGAAGCCAUUAGGCCGAGGGCACGCCUGCCUGGGUGUCACACACCGUUACCCUCGCGCCAACGUCCAUCGUUGGCCGCGGCGCGGGGCGUGCGCUGACCUCCCGCGAGCGGGGUCUCGUGGUUGGUUGAAAAUCGAGUUCGCGGUCGAGGGUGCCGUGAUGAAAUGGUGGAUGGGCGACGCCCGAGGCCAAUCACGCGCGACUCUGUCCGGCUUGGACUCCUGGACCCCUUCGGCGUCUCCGGACGCUCUUUGGCGAGACCUCAGGUCAGGCGGGGCUACCCGCUGAGUUUAAGCAUAUCAAUAAGCAGGA
rnacentral:misc_RNA from 1 species